rnacentral:lncRNA from 1 species
GGAAGUUAAAAGCAGUGAUAACAUUAAAGUUACCCAAUGCUGCUGUUAAGGAACAAAGGCAGCCAUGGAGAAUACAUAAAUGAAUGGGCGUGGCUCCGUUCCAAUGACUAUUUAUAAAAACAGGAGGCGGGCUGCAUUUAUUCUGCAGAUAUAACUUGAUGACCCUGGAUGCAAAGGUUUUCUAAUGUAAAUCAAUGGCAUUGAAGUCCAAAAUUAAUGGCUUCCCUGUAUUCAUCCCCUUUGCAAAGUGACCUUGCAUAUUCUUCCAUCAAGAGGUGAUGAUCGGUCAAGUGCAGCCGCAAGAGGGUCACAGGAGAGGCCCAGGAAAAUGAGGUUUAUUAUACUCACAGAUCCUUGGGAGACAGAGACAUUGUACAUCAAGAGGAGGUCACAGGAAAGAGUGCCAAGAAAGUGGGCUCAACCAAACAGGCAGGGAGCUGAGAGGCAGUGAGGACCUGUGGGCAAGUGUCUUGAUUGGGGUUCAGGGUGGAGGAUACAGCAAAAGUCUGGAGAGAAUUUCAUUGGUGCAUUUGAAUGUCAGUCGGUCACAGUCAUGGGAUGUCAAGAAGGGAAAAUUGUGGCAGGGCCAGUCUUAUCACAUUGGCGUACCUGGAUGUACAGCUUAUUUGUGAUGAUGUCGAGGAAAUAGGAAAACAUAAAAUUUUAAAAUUAUACGAUAAAUAAAUGACUGUUUUCUCCUACACUGUCCCCUAACUAAAAACAAGAUAGUUGUUGUUUCUUAUCAUGACUUCCAGGUCAUUAUUCCUUUUACCACCUAAAGAAUUCCAACUUCCUUAAGCACAUAUCAAUAAACAGCAAAAGCUUCACUUGGCCAAAUGUCCCUCUCUGGAUUCUGCCCCAUAUAUUGUUUUCUUUCACUGAAAAUCUCUUGGAAACAUGUUUACAUUCUUCUACUACCUUACUUCUUCCUCUGAGGAG